rnacentral:lncRNA from 1 species
UUUCUAACUCCAUUUUUUUUUUUUGCUAACAUUCAUUCAAAUAAUAUUGUUUUUUAGUGCCUUCCAGAAAAAAAGAUGUCAAUCUCAAAUUAGAAACCUGGCCACUAAAUGGUAAAAGAUGGGGAUAUGGAGAAAGAAGAAGCUAGAGAAAGUCUGCUGUUGCCACAGCAGGAACAAGCCGCCCUGGAACACAGCGACCUUUGGCACAAUUUCCCUCUCCUGGUCCCUCCCGAGUGGAAAGCGCUUGGCUAA